UACGUAGGGUGCAAGCGUUAAUCGGAAUUACUGGGCGUAAAGCGUGCGCAGGCGGUUUUGUAAGUCUGUCGUGAAAUCCCCGGGCUCAACCUGGGAAUUGCAUUUGUGACUGCACGGCUAGAGUGUGUCAGAGGGGGGUAGAAUUCCACGUGUAGCAGUGAAAUGCGUAGAGAUGUGGAGGAAUACCGAUGGCGAAGGCAGCCCCCUGGGAUAACACUGACGCUCCAUGGCACGAAAGCGUGGGGAGCAAACAGG
rnacentral:rRNA from 1 species